CGCCGGCGGGUGACUGGACGCCCUCGCGGCCGUGCGGUGCAGCGUUGCGAGAGCUCAAAAUGAAUUAUAUGCCCGGCACCGCCAGCCUCAUCGAGGACAUCAACAAAAAGCAUUUGGUCCUACUUCGAGAUGGAAGGACACUUAUAGGUUUUUUAAGAAGCAUUGAUCAAUUUGCUAACUUAGUGCUCCAUCAGACUGUGGAGCGGAUUCAUGUGGGCAAAAAGUAUGGUGAUAUUCCUCGAGGGAUAUUCGUGGUCAGAGGAGAAAAUGUGGUCCUACUAGGAGAAAUAGACCUGGAGAAGGAGAGUGACACACCCCUUCAGCAAGUGUCUAUUGAAGAGAUCCUAGAAGAGCAGAGGGUACAACAGCAGACCAGACUGGAGGCAGAGAAGCUGAAGGUCCAGACCCUUAAAGAUCGGGGUCUCUCCAUUCCUCGAGAAGACACUCUGGACGAGUACUGAGUCCUUGCUCAGAGAUUGCUCUAGAGAGCAGGUGCUGUCGCCUGGUCAUCUCACACAUUUGACCAGAGUAUCACAUUGAACAGUGAUCUCAUUCUUUCAUGGAUGCCAACAUGAAGAAAUCAUAGGGUUUUGUUUUGUUUUGUUUUUUUAACAAAAUCAUUAUAUAUUAGUUUUGGUUUUCUUCUUCAAACAGUCUCAAGAAAUAGUCCUGGCUGACCUAGAACUCACUAUGUAAACCAGGAUGACCUCUAGCUUGUGGAAUUGCAGGUGGCCUCCACCAGCCCAGCUUUACUAUUGAAACAAACAGUGGCAUGACCUCUCUUCACACAAGCCACUGUGGAGCCAAGAAUCAUGUCUUUAUAUUGCUUAUCUCAGAGUUUACAUUUCUUUUCAAAAAACAUUUCAUUUACUUGUAAAUAAAAAAUGAA